rnacentral:rRNA from 1 species
UACAGAGGUCCCAAGCGUUGUUCGGAAUCACUGGGCGUAAAGGGAGCGUAGGCGGCGUGGUAAGUCAGAUGUGAAAUCCCGGGGCUCAACCCCGGAACUGCAUCCGAUACUGCCGUGCUUGAGGGUUGGAGAGGUAGCUGGAAUUAUCGGUGUAGCAGUGAAAUGCGUGGAUAUCGAUAGGAACACUCGUGGCGAAGGCGAGCUACUGGACAACAUCUGACGCUGAGGCUCGAAGGCCAGGGGAGCAAAAGGG